GCCCGGGUAGCUCAAUUGGUCAGAGCGUCGGACUUUUACAAUCCAAUUCAAUUUGAAAAGGAAAAAAGGUCCAUCCGAAGGUUGGGGGUUCGAGACCCCCCUCGGGCG